rnacentral:rRNA from 1 species
UCCCUCAGUAAUGGCGAAUGAACAGGGGCAUGCUCAGCAUGAAAAUCGGGGCCGGUGAGCCUGAGUUGUAGUCUCGGGAGGUACUGCCAACAGAGGCGCUGCUGUACGUCUUUUGGAAAUGAGUAUCAGUGAAGGUGAGGGUCCUGCUUGUCAGUGGCAGCCCCCUGUUCACGGCGUACAUUCUAAGAGUCACGUUCCUUGGGAUUGGAGCGCAAUGGGUGGUAAGCUUCAUCUAAAGCUACACAUGGGCUCAAGACCAAUAGCAAACAAGUACCAUGAGGGAAAGGUGAAAAGGACUUUGAAAAGAAAGGUAACAGUGCUUGAAAUCGCUGAAAAGAAAGUGAGCGAAACCAGCGUGUCUUGGUGAGAUUGCUGUGCUCAGGUGCCAUUGCUUACUGCGCCAGCACGCGUGUAGCAGUAAGUCUUGCGCAGGCUGCGUGUGGUGCGUUUUGCCUUGCCUGUCAACGUCUCCUAUGUUUGAGGAAGACUGCAAGGACAUGGCAGCUCCCCCCAAGGGGGUGAAUAUCUUUGUAUGUACUUAUGCGAGGGGUGCUCGGGAGUAAAUGGCAGCGCUCGACCCGUCUUGAAACACGGACCAAGGAGUCUAACCUGUACGCAAGUUUGAGGGCGGAGAAGGCCUGUGUGCGCAAUGAAAGUGACUGCUGGGAUUUUUUGCACCAGCCACCGACCUAUCAAUUGAGAGAGGUUUGAGUGCGAGCAUAUUUGUUAGGACCCGAAAGAUGGUGAACUACGCCUGUGAAGGGCAAGCUCAGGGGAAACUCUGAUGGAGGCUCAUAGCGAUACUGACGUGCAAAUCGUUCGUCAUACAUGGGUAU